UGAGAGUGGCGCACGGGUGCGUAACGCGUGAGCAACCUACCUCUAUCAGGGGGAUAGCCUCUCGAAAGAGAGAUUAACACCGCAUAAUAUAAUGUACCGGCAUCGGGAUAUUAUUAAAUAUUUAUAGGAUAGAGAUGGGCUCGCGUGACAUUAGCUAGUUGGUAGGGUAACGGCUUACCAAGGCGACGAUGUCUAGGGGCUCUGAGAGGAGAAUCCCCCACACUGGUACUGAGACACGGACCAGACUCCUACGGGAGGCAGCAGUAAGGAAUAUUGGUCAAUGGGCGGAAGCCUGAACCAGCCAUGCCGCGUGCAGGAUGACUGCCCUAUGGGUUGUAAACUGCUUUUGUCCAGGAAUAAACCUAUAUACGUGUAUAUAGCUGAAUGUACUGGAAGAAUAAGGAUCGGCUAACUCCGUGCCAGCAGCCGCGGUAAUACGGAGGAUCCGAGCGUUAUCCGGAUUUAUUGGGUUUAAAGGGUGCGUAGGCGGCCUAUUAAGUCAGGGGUGAAAUACGGUGGCUCAACCAUCGCAGUGCCUUUGAUACUGAUGGGCUUGAAUCCAUUUGAAGUGGGCGGAAUAAGACAAGUAGCGGUGAAAUGCAUAGAUAUGUCUUAGAACUCCGAUUGCGAAGGCAGCUCACUAAGCUGGUAUUGACGCUGAUGCACGAAAGCGUGGGGAUCGAACAGGAUUAGAUACCCUGGUAGUCCACGCCCUAAACGAUGAUAACUCGAUGUUGGCGAUAGACAGCCAGCGUCUUAGCGAAAGCGUUAAGUUAUCCACCUGGGGAGUACGCCCGCAAGGGUGAAACUCAAAGGAAUUGACGGGGGCCCGCACAAGCGGAGGAGCAUGUGGUUUAAUUCGAUGAUACGCGAGGAACCUUACCCGGGCUUGAAAGUUAGUGAAGAGACCAGAGACGGUCUCGUCCUUCGGGACACGAAACUAGGUGCUGCAUGGCUGUCGUCAGCUCGUGCCGUGAGGUGUUGGGUUAAGUCCCGCAACGAGCGCAACCCCUAUGUUUAGUUGCCAGCA
rnacentral:rRNA from 1 species